CGGCGGCAGCGGCGGCGGCGGUAAGAUGGCUGCCCACGGGGGCUCCGCGGCGUCCUCGGCGCUGAAGGGGUUAAUUCAGCAGUUCACCGCCAUCACCGGUGCAAGUGAAAGUGUAGGGAAACAUAUGCUUGAAGCCUGCAACAAUAAUCUGGAGAUGGCAGUCACUAUGUUUUUGGAUGGUGGAGGAAUCGCUGAAGAGCCAAGUACCAGUUCAGCAAGUGUCUCCACUGUCAGACCACACACAGAAGAGGAAGUCCGUGCCCCAAUUCCUCAAAAGCAGGAAAUAUUGGUGGAACCAGAACCUUUGUUUGGUGCUCCUAAAAGACGACGGCCUGCACGUUCAAUAUUUGAUGGUUUCCGGGAUUUCCAAACUGAAACUAUUCGGCAAGAACAGGAAUUAAGAAAUGGAGGCGCAAUAGAUAAGAAACUAACUACCCUUGCAGAUCUCUUCCGGCCACCCAUUGAUUUGAUGCAUAAAGGCAGCUUUGAAACAGCCAAAGAGUGUGGCCAGAUGCAGAAUAAGUGGCUGAUGAUAAACAUUCAGAAUGUACAAGACUUUGCAUGCCAGUGCCUCAACCGUGACGUAUGGAGCAAUGAAGCUGUGAAGAAUAUUAUCCGAGAACAUUUCAUUUUCUGGCAGGUUUAUCAUGACAGUGAGGAAGGUCAGAGAUACAUACAGUUUUAUAAGCUAGGGGAUUUCCCCUAUGUUUCCAUCUUGGAUCCACGGACAGGUCAGAAGCUAGUAGAGUGGCACCAGUUAGACGUAUCUUCUUUCUUGGAUCAAGUAACAGGAUUUCUGGGUGAACACGGGCAACUGGAUGGACUUUCUAGCAGUCCCCCCAAAAAAUGUGCCCGUUCAGAGAGUCUUAUAGAUGCAAGUGAAGACAGCCAGCUAGAAGCUGCCAUCAGAGCCUCCUUGCAAGAGACACAUUUUGAUUCCACACAGACAAAACAGGAUAGCCGCUCAGAUGAAGAAUCUGAAUCUGAACUUUUUUCUGGCAGUGAGGAGUUCAUAUCCGUUUGUGGCUCUGAUGAGGAGGAGGAGAUAGAGAAUCUUGCCAAGUCUAGGAAGUCUCCCCACAAAGAUUUGGGGCAUAGAAAAGAGGAAAACAGAAGGUCACUGACUGAGCCCCCUGCCAGAACUGAGCCUGGAACAGCCACAAAUCACCAAGGAUUGCCAGCGAUGGAUUCAGAAAUAUUGGAGAUGUCACCUGAAAAAUCAGAUGGAAUAGUGGAGGGCAUUGAUGUAAAUGGACCAAAAGCACAGCUGAUGUUGCGGUAUCCAGAUGGAAAAAGGGAACAAAUCACUCUUCCAGAGCAAGCUAAACUACUAGCUUUGGUGAAGCAUGUCCAAUCUAAAGGAUAUCCAAAUGAACGUUUUGAACUUCUCACCAACUUCCCUCGAAGGAAACUCUCUCAUCUGGACUAUGAUAUUACAUUACAGGAGGCAGGCCUUUGUCCUCAAGAGACUGUCUUUGUACAGGAAAGAAAUUAACAUCAUGGCCUGACCUCUCUCAGCUUACCCCUUUUUUUCCCUUUUUCUGUGAGAUACCAUGUCACUGAGUAUGUAUUUUGGCUCAUAGGACCAUAGAGCCAAAGUUGGGCAAGCAAGUCACCUGCCUUCUCUUUUAUUUCUUGUUCUCUCCUAUAAUCAGUCUCACAUACCCCACCCCACCCCUCUUUUUCUCUCUUCUCCCAUUUUCUUCUCUUUCCUACUUUUCUCUCUUUCUUACCUAAUCUGGUGACCAAAUGGAAGUGUUAGGAUAAGACCUCCUAGUACUGGCAGCAGGAAAUGUAUGUUCCAAUAAGUGGUCUCUUACACAGCACUUUUUUGGGAUCAAAUGAUAAUGUUACUCCUCAGAUUCCUUUGGUAAAGGAAUGGCUAGAUUCAGAAUAAGAGCAGCCUCCUUUUUUUGUAAGCCCCAUGUUUAGUAGGGAGAAGAAAUUCUCUAACACAUGUUUUGUUUUAUUAUUCAUGUAGGAAAUAUCGUGUAACAGUGUCCAGGGUUUUGUUUACAUGGAAAAAAGCGUCCUUUAUAAUUAUUGCUCAUCAUAUUUAAAAUUUUUUUCAAAGGAUUCCCAUCUUCCCAGCUAGAAUUGUUUCCAUGAUAUGUGUUAUUGACAGAAAGAAUGUUAAACUAGGAUAAGGAAGAAAAUUGAAGUGCAGAGAACUUGUUCAGGAUGUCACAGCUAGUAAGUAAGUGGCAAAAUCAAAAUUGGCAUUCAUGCUUUUUUCACUCCCAUGCUGUAGUCUCCUGCAAUAGGAAUCAAUUUGCUCAAAAGGUUAUCUUCGCGUUGUUUGGCUCUGUAAGUUAUCAUUUGAUUUUUUUCCUUAAAGCUUGUGAGAUUUGUGCUAUGCCUAUAAAUUCUUAUUUACACUGUUAUUUUGAGGGGCAGGUUACUGAUUGCUUUUUUAAAAUGAUGCAGUGAUGAAAAUGUAAGAGGAAAAUAACUAUGGCAUUAUUUGCCAAGAAAAAAUGGAAAGGAUAAAAAAGAAUUUUAUCAAAUUUUUAACCAUUUCUCAGAAAAGAUACAAUUAUCUUUUCUAUAUCCCAUCUGUAUUAGAUUAUUGAAACUUCUAUGUGUAUAUUUUAAAAUCUCCUAUAAAAUUCUACUUCCUUGAUUCUAUAAGUUAACAAUUAUUUGAGUCCUUAAUCAAAGUUGGAAAAAUCUUGAAAUCCAAGAUCUGGUUCCUGCCUGUUUUAUCCAGUUGGAGAGACACACUACACUUGAGAUAAUAGGAGAAUAUGUAAAUGCUUACCUUUCUGAGACUGAACCAUAAUUACAAUAGAAGUUUAGAAAGGGUAAAGAAUAGUGUAGGCUUUAGUUAGGAAAAUAAAACUGGAAAGUGGCAAACACUGUGGCUCAGAUUUUCUUUUGACUUACCUGUAUUCUUUAGUUCCACCUUUUGUAACUACUAGAUUUAGGGCAUGAUGUUUUAACAGUAAGGCAUAACUAGUACCCAAGUAGGAAAGAAUUAUUGAUUCCAGGAUUAAAGAUUUUAGCUAGCAGGGAUCUCACUUGGAUACUUAGGAAAAUACCAGAGGGAGCCACUUGCUACUGAAAAGUGAAGGAAAGAUUUAAUUUCUAUACCCAGGUACAAAUUAAAUGUAUAGUACAAUAUAUUAUAUAUGAUAUGCAGAAAGGGCACUAUAUGUAGGCAAUAAGUGUACUUGGGUAACAGCUCUGCUUCUAAUUAACAGAGAAUUGGACUAGAUCAAUAGUUCUUAGUCUGUUCAAGUAAAAGGGCUUGUAAUUUUAAAAUUCAGCAGUGGUGGGGAGUUGUGGGGUUAAGUAUAAAUAUCAUUAAUUCCAUAAGUGGAGAAAAUGUAAAUGUGCAUAUGGAAUUGCAGACCUUUUGCAGAAACUCUUGGAACCUACAGAUUGUAGACCACUGAAUUAGAUUAUCUCUGAAUCUUUUCCACUCCAAAAUUUAAUGCUUUUAGUCUCUUACCUUUAUUUUAUAUAUUAUCCCUAGAGUAAUUAAAAGUAUACUUGUUAAUCAGUUCUUGCUUUUUUUUUCCUGUGUCCAGGUUUCAUUUGCCCAGUAACUUGAUCUGCCCUACUGUGAUGACUGUAAUCUUCAGAAAGGAGAGUAUAAUAGUUACAGAUCUAGUAAUGAUCUUUUAAACACAAUUCAUUACUUUUAAAACUUAAUGCUGUGUUCCUAAUCAGUGUUGAGUAUGACUAAAAUGUAAUGAGAACCAAAUAUUUCACUGACACCGGAGUUAAAUUUUAUUUUGUAUGUGUGCUUAAACAAAGCACUUUACUGGCUGAGUAAUUGUUAGGAAAUUGAUUUGUGUAAGCUGUAGAAGUCACACUUGGUUUUGACAGAAACAAGUGUUUCAAGAUCCAAUUAGGCCGACUUUUUAAAAUAUUUCUUAUCCCAUAGAGUGUAUCUCCAUGGUGUCAUUCUCUCUCUGGCCCUCUUUCAUUUGGAGCCAGAGAGAGAGAGUAAAUAGUAUUCAGUAGUACUACUCAAUAGUAAAUCAUGGGAUGGGGGUUGAUGAAUAAGUAAAGUCUUGUGUAAAACUAAAUGAGAGUAAGAAGAACCCACCCUUCUGGUGAACAUGGCAGUUUUCCAAUAGGACCACUUAAAGACAGCUGUGUACUAUGAAUAUUCAACUUCAUUGAUUUGCCUUGCUUAACAUUUUAGUUACUGCCUCACCGUGCAGUUUAGUAUUGCACUGUACACAUUUUAGAAUGGUGGUAAGAAUGUUCUUUAGUACUGAAAAUAACCAACAGAGAACACCAAGCCUGACAUUGAUUUCUCCUGACAUGUAGAAAUUUGGUAUUUCAGUGAUGGCUAUUUUGGUCUUUGAUUCACCUAUGUAUCAAUCCUGCUAGAGAGACAGCUUAGAAUCUAGCUUUUUUCAGUAGAGAUUAUGAUGACCUUGGUAGUUUUCCCAUGAAGUGAUCUCGUGGUUAAAUUAUUGGAUGUAAUGAGACCCUUAAAUUAGAAAAUCUUUUAAUAUAAUUUUAUUUUUCCAUUCUCUUCUUGAUUUUUGACAUCUGUUCUCAGAAAAUGUCUUGAUUUUUAAUGAAAAUUGGCUGUGUUUAAGAAAUUCCAUUUCUAAAUUUUAAUAUGUAACAUUUUUCAUUUUUCAUAAAUUAAUAUACAAGGAAAGAAUUUGAGGCAAACAUCAUUUUUAUAACUCAUUUUCUCUCUACCUAAGAAUCCUUAUUCCAAAUAUAGAAUAGCUAGCUCCAUGAUACCCCUCCGCCCUUUUUUGGCCUAUGGAAUGCAGUUGUAUUGCUUAGAAUCUCAGUCAUUCUCAUAAACAUGAUAGUGUUUGGUACAGGCCUUGCUUUGACAUAUGAUCUCAAAGUAGAGUUGAGCAAUCUAAUAUGAACUACUUUAAUAAAACAUAAUUUAGCAUUUCUGUAUUUUCAAAAGAUAACCAGAUUUACGUGUAGGAUUAGAGAUACAAAUACCGAUGGUAGUAUUUUCCUAAGAACAAUCAAAUAUUAAUCUAUAAAUAUGGAAAGCUGCCUUGUUGUACUUAAUUCUCUUGCAACAAACAGCAAAUUUUUGUUGUUUGCCUAAUAGUAUUUCCUCUACAGAGAUCAAAAUGCCCUAAGAUUUUAUAUCCCUUAUAAGGUCACUUGGGUUUACAAAUUGGAGGAAUAAGCUGGACUUAACAUAAGAAAAAUUUUACCUCCAUUAAAAGAAGUUGUUAAUCUAACUGGGCCACCAUGAAUCACUCAUUUAUUAGACAUGGUAAAUAAAAUGGGAAACAUUUCAAAUAAUUAGAUAAAUUCUGACCUGGAAUUGAAUUCUCCCUUCCUUAAAAUCUUUUCUAUUUGCUUUUUUCAUAGACUCAAUAUGGGCAUCUUAUCUGAUAAGGGAGAAAUUCUUGAUAUGGAGCCAUUCCCUGCCAUUGUGCUUUUUUUCCCCUCUGUCAAGGUCACUGACUUUAAGUACAUGUCACCAGGAUAUAUUUCAAGUUAAUGGCAUUGGAAUGUUGAUGCUCAGUUGGAUAUCUUUCUGUUUUCAACAAAAUGGCUUUAUAGUAUGCUUUUCUCAAAGCUUCUGUGUUCUUAAUAAUGGAAAAUAUCAAUAAAUGGUGUGAAUCAAAAUAUAAAUAGGUUUUUGACACUGAUAAUCAGAUGCUCUUAACAGUAGUUUUUUGAUAAUUCAUUGCCCUGUAAGUUAAACCUCAUGUGGAGUGACCAUUGCCACCAGAAAAUCCCCUCUUACAUGCUAAUUAGAAUGAAAGGAGUAUGUGACCUCCACUUUUCAGUUAAUGAGUAGGAAGUUUGUAGGGGCUGUUUAUCUUACCUGUUGGGGGACUUGGGCCUUGUUACUUUCCUAGGUUUGUCACUUCGGUUUGGAAAGGGUAUUUAAAACUUGCUGGGAAACAGACAGUAAAGCUAUGAGAUAAUCCUCUAGUCUUAAAUGUAGAGAAAUGAGUACCAGUUGAUGCUAACACAAUACUUGGACUUUGAGGGGCUUCCAGCCAAGCUUUGGCAUGAAUUUUAGACACAAUUUUAUUCACUCUUAAGAAUCUUUCUUUCUAGAAUGGUUUUCCCUUUGAUUGUUAACAACUUCUAAGCAUCUGGUGUCUUUUUUUUUUUUAACCCUUUAAGAAACAAAGUAGGUAUUGAUUGUUCCAUGGAAACACUCAGGAGUGUUGUAGGCUUCUGUGCAUGCUUUGUAUGAAUUUAGUUUGAACAAUGCGUUCUGAAUCAUCUGGGAUGUCCAAUUCUGGCAUGUCUUCACUAACUGUGUUUUUUAAACAUUUUCCAUGUCAUUUUCCAAACCUCACUUCCCAUCUUAUUCAGAGAAGUUUAACCAAGGAAUGAAAUUUGGGGAUAGGGAUGGGGGUGGGUUGGGGGCUUGAGUGAAGUCAACUUAGGGUAUUUGCUUUAGUGUUCUCAAGCAGUUUCUCACAGUGUUUAGAAAUUCCCUGGGAUGUUUGUGUACUCACCUUAUUCUGGAUAAAGUGGUGGUCUUAGUGAGAUUUGCAUUCUUAAUGCAGGACAGGCUCUAAAUUUAAUCUGUAGUGUAACUUUGUUAUUGAAUCCAAGAAGAUAAUGGACAGAGACAGUGCUUCUAUUGUAAUGUUUCUGGCAAGUGUUCCCUAAAAUGCACAUAUGUAUAGUUCUCAGUUUUCUGGGCUUUAAUCCCGUGGUGCUAGGAGAUAUCAUUUAUUUCUGCAGUUCUUCUCAAGAGUGGGAAGAAGGCUUUGGGACAUGUGAGAAAGGGGCAACUGGAUCAUCCACUAAAUUUUUUUGUUCAAGACACACUAGAGACCCUCCUGUAUUUCUAGUAAGUGAUAAUAAAGGUGCUAGGGAAAGCCUUAAAUCUGAAGACAUAUGGAGGCCGUAGAAAAUCUAAACUUGUAGGAGGAGAAAAACAAGCCGUUAGAUAAAGCAGAGCUGUAACUGCUGGCUAAGACUCAAUGGAACUUCCACUUGCUCUAAAACCAGGGAAAUCUUAGAUAACUGGGUGUGAUAUAUCUAUAGAUACACAUAGUCUAUAGGUAAAUAAUUUCUAAAAUGAGGAUCUUUCUCUCAGUUGGUGAUCCUCUGGUUUUGGCUGUACCAAAUUGUGAAUAUUCUUGCUGUGUUGUACCCAGUUGCUUUAUAUUGAUAUUGCAACUUGAAUUGGGGAGGGGGGCGGUGGGACAUUUGGGGUUGGGGAGGGA